UGGGGAAUAUUGGGCAAUGGGCGAAAGCCUGACCCAGCAACGCCGCGUGAAGUAUGAAGGUCUUCGGGUUGUAAACUUCUUUGAUCAGGGAAGAAACAAAUGACGGUACCUGAAAAACAAGCCACGGCUAACUACGUGCCAGCAGCCGCGGUAAUACGUAGGUGGCGAGCGUUAUCCGGAUUUACUGGGUGUAAAGGGCGUGCAGGCGGGCUGAUAAGUCAGAUGUGAAAUCCCCGAGCUUAACUCGGGAACUGCAUCUGAUACUGUUGGUCUUGAGUGCUGGAGAGGAUAGUGGGAUUCCUAGUGUAGCGGUAAAAUGCGCAGGUAUUAGGAGGAACACCAGUGGCGAAGGCGGCUAUCUGGACAGUAACUGACGCUGAGGCGCGAAAGCGUGGGUAGCAAACAGG
rnacentral:rRNA from 1 species